rnacentral:rRNA from 2 species
UGGGGAAUUUUGCACAAUGGGGGAAACCCUGAUGCAGCGACGCCGCGUGAUUUAGAAGGCCUUCGGGUUGUAAAAAUCUUUUCUAUGGGAAGAAAAUGACAGUACCAUAGGAAUAAGGACCGGCUAAUUACGUGCCAGCAGCCACGGUAAUACGUAAGGUCCGAGCGUUGUCCGGAAUCAUUGGGCGUAAAGGGUACGUAGGCGGGUAAGCAAGUUAGAAGUGAAAUCCUAUAGCUCAACUAUAGUAAGCUUUUAAAACUGCUCAUCUUGAGGUAUGGAAGGGAAAGUGGAAUUCCUAGUGUAGCGGUGAAAUGCGCAGAUAUUAGGAGGAAUACCGGUGGCGAAGGCGACUUUCUGGCCAUAACCUGACGCUGAGGUACGAAAGCGUGGGUAGCAAACAGG